rnacentral:miRNA from 14 species
CGCGGGUUUUUUCCUUCGGUGAUA